GCUGGGAUAGCUUAGUCAGUAGAGCACUAGACUCUUAAUCUUAGGGUUGCGGGUUCAAGCCCCACCUUGGGCA